GAUGAACGCUGGCGGCGUGCCUAAUACAUGCAAGUCGAGCGAACAGACGAGGAGCUUGCUCCUCUGACGUUAGCGGCGGACGGGUGAGUAACACGUGGAUAACCUACCUAUAAGACUGGGAUAACUUCGGGAAACCGGAGCUAAUACCGGAUAAUAUAUUGAACAGCAUGGUUCAAUAGUGAAAGACGGUUUUGCUGUCACUUAUAGAUGGAUCCGCGCCGCAUUAGCUAGUUGGUAAGGUAACGGCUUACCAAGGCAACGAUGCGUAGCCGACCUGAGAGGGUGGUCGGCCACACGGGAACUGAGACACGGUCCAGACACCUACGGGAGGCAGCAGUAGGGAAUCUUCCGCAAGGGGCGAAAGCCUGACGUAGCAACGCCGCGUGAGUGAUGAAGGUCUUCGGAUCGUAAAACUCUGUUAUUAGGGAAGAACAAAUGUGUAAGUAACUAUGCACGUCUUGACGGUACCUAAUCAGAAAGCCACGGCUAACUACGUG
rnacentral:rRNA from 1 species